rnacentral:rRNA from 1 species
AAAGGCAUCUUUUUAUUUUUAAAAGACCUUUUUCGGAAGGUAUGCUUAAAGAGGGGCUUGCGUCACAUUAGUUAGUUGGCAGGGUAAAGGCCUACCAAGACUAUGAUGUGUAGCUGGACUGAGAGGUUGAACAGCCACAUUGGGACUGAGACACGGCCCAAACUCCUACGGGAGGCAGCAGUAGGGAAUUUUCGGCAAUGGAGGAAACUCUGACCGAGCAACGCCGCGUGAACGAUGAAGUAUUUCGGUAUGUAAAGUUCUUUUAUUGAAGAAGAAAAAAUAGUGGAAAAACUAUCUUGACGAUAUUCAAUGAAUAAGCCCCGGCAAACUAUGUGCCAGCAGCCGCGGUAAUACAUAGGGGGCGAGCGUUAUCCGGAAUUAUUGGGCGUAAAGGGUGCGUAGGCGGUUUAAUAAGUCUAUAGUUUAAUUUCAGUGCUUAACACUGUCCUGCUAUAGAAACUAUUAGACUAGAGUGAGAUAGAGGCAAGUGGAAUUCCAUGUGUAGCGGUAAAAUGCGUAAAUAUAUGGAGGAACACCAGAGGCGUAGGCGGCUUGCUGGGUCUUUACUGACGCUGAGGCACGAAAGCGUGGGGAGCAAACAGGAUUAGAUACCCUGGUAGUCCACGCCGUAAACGAUGAGUACUAAGUGUCGGGAUUACUCGGUACUGAAGUUAACACAUUAAGUACUCCGCCUGAGUAGUACGUACGCAAGUAUGAAACUUAAAGGAAUUGACGGGACUCCGCACAAGCGGUGGAUCAUGUUGUUUAAUUCGAAGAUACACGAAAAACCUUACCAGGUCUUGACAUACUCUGCAAAGCUAUAGCAAUAUAGUGGAGGUUAUCAGGGAUACAGGUGGUGCAUGGUUGUCGUCAGCUCGUGUCGUGAGAUGUUAGGUUAAGUCCUAAAACGAGCGCAACCCUUGUCAUUAGUUGCCAGCAUGUUAUGAUGGGCACUUUAAUGAGACUGCCAAUGAAAAAUUGGAGGAAGGUGAGGAUCACGUCAAAUCAUCAUGCCCCUUAUGAUCUGGGCUACAAACGUGAUACAAUGGCUGUUACAAAGAGUAGCUGAAACGUAAGUUUAUAGCCAAUCUCAUAAAAGCAGUCUCAGUUCGGAUUGAAGUCUGCAACUCGACUUCAUGAAGUUGGAAUCGCUAGUAAUCGCGAAUCAGCAUGUCGCGGUGAAUACGUUCUCGGGGUUUGUACACACCGCCCGUCAAACCACGAAAGUUGGUAAUACUCAAAAACGGUAGCCUAACUUCUUCGGAAGAGGGAACCGUCUAAGGUAGGACCGA